UCUAAAUAAAGAUAUUAUAACGAGUUGUAUUUUAUUUCCACUCAGCUUAGCAAAAGUAAAACUUAGUUGGUUAAAAAACAAAACGUGUAUAUUUGAAAUAAAAACGGCACCGACUGUAGCGUCCAGCUCAAGUACUGACGAACCAAAAACAAAAGACGACCACGAAGGGACUCGAACCCUCAAUCUUCUGAUCCGAAGUCAGACGCCUUAUCCAUUAGGCCACGCGGUCUGAAUGCUGCGAAAACCGCGGAGCAAAACCUUUUUGUAAACACAUAAAUACGAUAUUCACGCAUAUGCCUGAGGUUUUGUACUUUUUUUAUCUGAACUUAACGGUCACAAACCCACAGAUUUAUGCGAUCUAACGAGCGGAUUGAGGACCGGAUCCCAAACCCAACAGGAUCAUCAGAUUGUUUCAGGCCCCUCCCCUUCCUGCAGCGGCGCCACGUUCCCACUCGGCUCUGUGGACACAUUCAGGAAUUCCUGAGGGCCGGAGAUCCGAAUUCCUCACAAAUGUCCUCAGUUCAGCUGGAUCUGCAGGAGCAGACUCGGUCCUUCCUGCUCCUCAGGACGGUUCUCCCAGCUGCUCUGGAGCCGUGAGAAUCCUGGAAUGUGGAAAACAUCCGGAUCGGAUCGUCUCUUCCUCACAGAGGAACCUAACCUACAAACUCAAAGUGUUUUUCCCGCCUCACAUUUCUGAGGAACAUCUGGAUGAUUCCAGACUUUCAGAAAGAGAAAAUCUUAAAUGAAUGAACAUAAAUCUGACUGAUCCGACUAAACGAAUGACCCUCUCGUGGUUGAAGCUCCGCCUUCGUGGUCCUCUGGGAUUUCCAUCAGACGGCGUUCCAGAGGCUCACGCCAAAGUCUGAGUAUCUGAAAACAUCCCGUUCCUCCAGAGACUUCAGCUGUGAGGCUACAAACAGGAAGCAGAUCGUCUGCUUGAAGCAGAGCUCAGAUCUCAGACGUGGGUCAGGACGACCCGCAGAACCCUUCCAACACGAGGAAAUCCUGCUGGUUUCCUCUGACCUCCUGAUGGUCCUCGGCUACUCUUUUCAGGUUCAUCCCAGGAACCAGAAGAUUCAAAUUUUAAAGGCUGAAACGUCAUUUAUAGCUGCUUUUAUUUUGAAAAUAUCCUUUGUUUUAGAAAUGCAGGGACAUUUCAGAGGCUGAAUGGUGGCUCCACAAACCCGACUGUGAUGCGGUUCUGGUCCUGGUUCUAGAGUUCAUUGAUGCUGUUAUUGUAGUAGAUCUGCUUCCUGUCCUUCAGAUCAUUUCCAGUUCAUGCCCGCCAAAAUAAAACACUUCUGAUGAUGAA